CCAGCGCCAGCCCGCAAGCAGCUCCCAGCCCCUCUCCCGCGGUGCCGGGAGGAUGGGAGCAGGAGGACGAGCAGGGAAACGGCUGAGCAGAGGCAAAGGCUGGAGCUCUCCUCCUGGCAGGCACUGCUCGGGGGACACGAGUGUUCCUGAACACGGAGGUUACCCAGCAGCAGCAAUGCUCGGCUGGGGGAGUCCCUGGGAGUAUCGAAGCUGCCAAAGGCACAUGAUGACUGCACAGCCCCAGAAACAUGGCCAGCAGUGAGAGACCAGAACCAGCACACCAGCAACACUGCCAGCGUGGGCCCUUUCCCUGGGCACAGGCAGCUGCACCCUGAGGGCAAACCUGCCCCCUCUCCCCACUGCCCAGAUGUGCAAAGCAGAGCUGGCUCUCCAGGCUGGCUCCCUGCACAUCAACUCUGGCUGAAAACACAGCAACCCCUUCCCAGGGGGAUGCAGAGGCCCAGGGCACUGCCCAGUUGGGCCAGCAGUGGGGCAGAGGCUCUGCAAAGGCAUAGGGUGGUGGGAGGGUCUCUGCAGCACCUCCUCUGGCUCUGGAUCCUUGUGGCUAUCCCUGUGGCUGUUACCACACUUGGCCUGAGCUCUGGGCUGGCCAGAGGUCUGGCUGGUAUGGAGAUAACCCUGUGUCAGCCAAGGCUGCUCCCAAAUGUCUUUCCCGACUGAUGGAUGCCACAAGCUUGGGGCACCACGGGGCUUUUCUUCCCCAUCCUUUCCGACCCGGGGGCAGCAGAAGGAGGAGCCCAGCACGUUGCAUAGCUUGGUUUCUACCUCGGUCCCCAGCUGGGUGCACCCUGCCGGGGGGGCGGUGCCGGAUGCAGGGGCUGACUCCGGAGAUGCUCCAUCUGCUUCUCGUCAGGCUGCAGGGAGCAACGCUGCUGCCGGGGCCCGGCAGUGGGACAGAGUUGUGAUAGAUGGUCUGUUUAUCACGUUUCAGCUCUGCUCAGGAUGUUAGUGUUUGCCUGCAAAAGACAUUUUUUGGGCUUGGCUGCUCCUCCAUCCUCCCUCUCCUCCUGCUUCCCCCCCUGGUCCUUGACCUUGGGUCCAGAUGGGCUGAAGCGAGGGCAAAGGUCUGGGUGACAUCUCUCCUGCAGCCCCUGUCCCUUGCCCAGGGGAAGAGUUGGGCUCAGUCCUACCAACCUAGGAAUGGAUCAGGCCCAUACCUGAGUGGGGGAAGCCAAGGCUGAAGCCUUCCCACAGGGGCUGUCCAGCUGCAGGCUCUCCUCUGAUGAGGACAGGGAUAGCUGGAGCAUUCACAUGCUCCGUAUUCCCUGGAGCAGGGAAGAUGUGAUCAGCCCCACACUGCCCUGGGGAGUCCUGACCCCACCGAGAGGCAGCACUGGGCCCUGGGGCAAUUCCCAUAGCCCUCACUUCUUGCCCAGCUCCCCACCAGCUCUUGGGGAGGGGUACACAGAUUUGGAGGCAGAAGUCCCCCUGUCUAUCCCUGUCUGUCCCUGCAGAGCUGGGGUCAGGCUGAGCUACCAAGCCCAGGUCUGUCCUUCCAUCAUGUUGGGGAUUAGGGCACAGGGCUCUGGUGGGGGGGAGGCCUCUCUGCCUGCAUCCAGCCAGACAGAUGGACACACAGCCUUGCUGUGGCACGACCCACGGACGCAUGCCAGCUGCAGCAAGAGUGACCGUGGGCUCCUCCAUGUCUCCCAGCCCAAGGUGCAGUGCUGCAUCUCUGGUCAAUUGGGAGUCUGAGAUGAAGCACUGUAGCUCGGGAAGGGAGGAACUGCGCACCCUGGGGACCUCUGGGACCCCCCCACCCUCUGGGACAAGUGACACGAGGAGAGCUGGAGCCCUGGCUAUGGGAAGGGGCUCACCCCAAAGCUCUGGAUCCUUGCAGAGAGCAAGGGGGGACAGGAGGUGGGGAAGUUUCUCCUUGCAGAAGAGGGACCCCUAUAUCUGCUCAGUGGUUGGGCACUGGGCACCAGCAGGAGUAUGGGAGCCUUGUGUGGUUGUGGGGAGGGACAGCAGGGACCUGGCAGUGGCACCACCCAUCAGCCACAUGGGAGGAUGUAUGGGGCUGGUGGAGAGCCUGGGUCGCUGUGCCCUCAGGGUCCAGUUUUCCCAGGAAUCCCUUAGCGCUACGUUGGGGAUUCCUGGAAAUACUGUUCUUGGGGCCAUGGCUCUGCAGCUUGAGAUGGCCCAUCCCACGGGGAGCCACAGCCUGUGGAAGAGGUGACUGAGGUACGGGGAUGCUUGUGGGGGCUGUGAGUGGGAGGGGGAGCUCCCUGGCUACCCCAAACAUGGGGAGGUGGGUAAGCCAGCCCAGGCAGCCCCUGCUGCCCCAGGCUGGGAGGUAACAUGUCCCCGAGGGUCACAGCUCAUCAAGGGGACGUGGCUGACAGGCAGAUGGCCAUGCACACUACUCCUGUCCUGCACAUGCAACCCAGGGAGCAAUAAAGGUCUGGACUCCGGAGCGACUCUGUCCUGGGUAGUCCUUUGGGGCUAAGAGCAGGGUGAGAACCUGCAGUCUGGUGCCUGCACGGUUUGGGGCAGGAAGGGAUGAGAACCACUUGUGGAGCACUUCCCCGAGGGGCUGCUCCCUCCUUCCUCUCCCCCACCACAUCCUCCCCAGCCCCUGGUUCUGCCGUGCUCCUGCAAAGCUCCUGAUGCACCCAUCGUCCCCCUCCUUGCUGCUGGGCAGCCUGAGCACCCUGAGCAGCAGGCACUGGGAUCUCUCCCUGCAGCCUUCCGGGCCCACAUUAAUCACAGCCCUGCCAGCGGA